GGUUAUGGUUCAGUGGUAGAGCGUUUGCCUAGCAUGCACAAGGCACUGGGUUCAAUCCUCAGCACCA
rnacentral:tRNA from 1 species